AGUGAACGCUGGCGGUAGGCCUAACACAUGCAAGUCGAACGGCAGCACAGUAAGAGCUUGCUCUUACGGGUGGCGAGUGGCGGACGGGUGAGGAAUACAUCGGAAUCUACUUUUUCGUGGGGGAUAACGUAGGGAAACUUACGCUAAUAGCGCAUACGACCUACGGGGGAAAGCAGGGGAUCUUCGGACCUUGCGCGAUUGAAUGAGCCGAUGUCGGAUUAGCUAGUUGGGGGGGUAAAGGCCCACCAAGGCGACGAUCCGUAGCUGGUCUGAGAGGAUGAUCAGCCACACUGGAACUGAGACACGGUCCAGACUCCUACGGGAGGCAGCAGUGGGGAAUAUUGGACAAUGGGCGCAAGCCUGAUCCAGCCAUACCGCGUGGGUGAAGAAGGCCUUCGGGUUGUAAAGCCCUUUUGUUGGGAAAGAAAAGCAGCAGGUUAAUACCCCGCUGUUCUGACGGUACCCAAAGAAUAAGCACCGGCUAACUUCGUG
rnacentral:rRNA from 1 species